rnacentral:rRNA from 1 species
UACGUAGGGGGCGAGCGUUGUCCGAAUUUACUGGGCGUAAAGCGCGCGUAGGCGGGCGCUUAAGGCUGGUGUGAAAGGCUGAGGGCUCAACCCCAGCAGUGCACUGGCGACUGGGCGCCUUGAGUGGGGGAGAGGAAGACGGAACAAGUUGUGUAGCGGUGAAAUGCGUUGAUAUAACUUGGAACACCAAUGGCGAAAGCAGUCUUCUGGACGGAUACUGACGCUCAGGUUCGAAAGCCAAGGUAGCAAACAGG